rnacentral:rRNA from 1 species
AGGACGAACGCUGGCGGCGCGCUUAACACAUGCAAGUCGAGCGAGAACCGGUCCUUCGGGACCGGGGAAAGCGGCGAACGGGUGAGUAACACGUGGGUAAUCAACCCUCGGUACCGGGAUAGCCCGAGGAAACUCGGAUUAAUACCGGAUGGCCCAACAGCCUUUCGGGGCGGUUGGAAAAGGUAGCUUCGGCCUCCGACCGAGGACGAGCCCGCGGCGGAUUAGCUUGUUGGUGGGGUAACGGCCCACCAAGGCGACGAUCCGUAGCUGGUCUGAGAGGACGAUCAGCCACACUGGGACUGAGACACGGCCCAGACUCCUACGGGAGGCAGCAGUGGGGAAUCUUGCACAAUGGGCGAAAGCCUGAUGCAGCGACGCCGCGUGAGGGAAGAAGGCUUUCGGGUUGUAAACCUCUUUCAGGAGGGACGAAGCUACUCGGGUUAAUAGCCAGAGGGUGACGGUACCUCAGAAGAACGCCCGGCUAACUACGUGCCAGCAGCCGC